UACAGAGGUCUCGAGCGUUGUUCGGAUUCAUUGGGCGUAAAGGGUGCGUAGGUGGCGCUGUAAGUCAGGUGUGAAAUUUCGGAGCUUAACUCCGAAACUGCAUUUGAUACUGCGGUGCUUGAGGACUGGAGAGGAGACUGGAAUUUACGGUGUAGCAGUGAAAUGCGUAGAGAUCGUAAGGAAGACCAGUGGCGAAGGCGGGUCUCUGGACAGUUCCUGACGCUGAGGCACGAAGGCCAGGGGAGCAAACGGG
rnacentral:rRNA from 1 species